UACGUAGGGUGCGAGCGUUAAUCGGAAUUACUGGGCGUAAAGCGUGCGCAGGCGGUUCGACAAGUCCGAUGUGAAAGCCCCGGGCUCAACCUGGGAACUGCAUUUGUGACUGCAUCGCUGGAGUGCGGCAGAGGGGGAUGGAAUUCCGCGUGUAGCAGUGAAAUGCGUAGAUAUGCGGAGGAACACCGAUGGCGAAGGCAAUCCCCUGGGCCUGCACUGACGCUCAUGCACGAAAGCGUGGGGAGCAAACAGG
rnacentral:rRNA from 1 species